AACCGUGGCCUAAAAUUCCUAAAGGCACCAGAUCCCAUCUAUCUUGGAAGCUAAGCAGAGUCAGUCCUGAUUAGGACUUGAAUGGGAAACUGCCAGUGAAUAUACGUAGAUGCUGUAG
rnacentral:rRNA from 11 species